CCUACUUUCUUCCUCCUUUCUGCCUCUUGGUCCAUGGCCGGACGUCUGCACCAGCCAUGCCGCGUGCAGGAAGACGGCUCUAUGAGUUGUAAACUGCUUUUGUACAAGGGUAAACCUGAAUACGUGUAUUCAGCUGAAAGUACUUUACGAAUAAGGAUCGGCUAACUCCGUGCCAGCAGCCGCGGUAAUACGGAGGAUCCAAGCGUUAUCCGGCUUUAUUGGGUUUAAAGGGUGAGUAGGCGGAUUGAUAAGUUAGAGGGGAAAUGUCCGAGCUUAACUCGGGAACUGCCUCUAAUCCUGUUGAUCUAGAGAGUAGAUGCGGUAGGCGGAAUGUAUGGUGUAGCGGUGAAAUGCUUAGAGAUCAUACAGAACACCGAUUGCGAAGGCAGCUUACCAAUCUAUAUCUGACGUUGAGGCACGAAAGCGUGGGGAGCAAACAGGAUUAGAUACCCUUGUAGUC
rnacentral:rRNA from 1 species